rnacentral:rRNA from 1 species
AGUGAACGCUGGCGGCAGGCCUAAUACAUGCAAGUCGAACGGCAGCACGGCAGAGCUUGCUCUGUGGGUGGCGAGUGGCGGACGGGUGAGGAAUACAUGGGAAUCUGCCCAGUCGUGGGGAUAACGUAGGGAAACUUACGCUAAUACCGCAUGCGCCCUUCGGGGAAAGCCGGGGACCUUCGGGCCUGGCGCGAUUGGAUGAGCCCAUGUCGGAUUAGCUAGUUGGCGGGGUAAUGGCCCACCAAGGCGACGAUCCGUAGCUGGUCUGAGAGGAUGAUCAGCCACACUGGAACUGAGACACGGUCCAGACUCCUACGGGAGCAGCAGUAGGGAAUAUUGGACAAUGGGCGCAAGCCUGAUCCAGCCAUGCCGCGUGAGUGAAGAAGGCCCCUCGGGUUGUAAAGCUCUUUUGUCCCGGAAAGAAAAGCGCCGGGUUAAUACCCCUGGUGUCCCUGACGGUACCGGAAGAAUAAGCACCGGCUAACUUCGUGCCAGCAGCCGCGGUAAU